AUUGAACGCUGGCGGCAUGCCUUACACAUGCAAGUCGAACGGCAGCACGGGAGCAAUCCUGGUGGCGAGUGGCGCACGGGUGAGUAAUACAUCGGAACGUGCCCACUCGUGGGGGAUAACGCAGCGAAAGCUGUGCUAAUACCGCAUACGAUCUACGGAUGAAAGCAGGGGACCGCAAGGCCUUGCGCGAAUGGAGCGGCCGAUGGCAGAUUAGGUAGUUGGUGGGGUAAAGGCUCACCAAGCCAACGAUCUGUAGCUGGUCUGAGAGGACGACCAGCCACACUGGGACUGGGACACGGCCCAGACUCCUACGGGAGGGAGCAGUGGGGAAUGUUGGGCAAUGGGCGCAAGCCUGAUCCAGCCAUGCCGCGUGCAGGAUGAAGGCCUUCGGGUUGUAAACUGCUUUUGUACGGAACGAAACGGCCUUUUCCAAUAAAGAGGGCUAGUGACGGUACCGUAAGAAUAAGCACCGGCUAACUACGUG
rnacentral:rRNA from 1 species